AUUGAACGCUGGCGGAAUGCUUUACACAUGCAAGUCGAACGGCAGCACGGACUUCGGUCUGGUGGCGAGUGGCGAACGGGUGAGUAAUGUAUCGGAACGUGCCCAGUCGUGGGGGAUAACGUAGUGAAAAUUACGCUAAUACCGCAUACGAUCUAUGGAUGAAAGCGGGGGAUCGCAAGACCUCGCGCGAUUGGAGCGGCCGAUAUCAGAUUAGGUAGUUGGUGGGGUAAAGGCCCACCAAGCCAACGAUCUGUAGCUGGUCUGAGAGGACGACCAGCCACACUGGAACUGAGACACGGUCCAGACUCCUACGGGAGGCAGCAGUGGGGAAUUUUGGACAAUGGGCGAAAGCCUGAUCCAGCCAUUCCGCGUGCAGGAUGAAGGCCCUCGGGUUGUAAACUGCUUUUGUACAGAACGAAAAGGUUUCUACUAAUACUAGGAGCUCAUGACGGUACUGUAAGAAAAAGCACCGGCUAACUAUGUGCCAGCCGCCGCAGUAA
rnacentral:rRNA from 1 species